CCUGCGAAGACCCGUGCUAAUUUUGUGAUUACAGGUGAACCUGCGGAAGGAUCAUUACCGAGAUAGGGUCCCCUCGGGGCCCGACCCUCCCACCCUUUGUGUAUAUACCUCUGUUGCUUCGGCGGGCCCGUGGGCUCUGUUGUGGGGCUCGCCACCGGCCUUGGCUGGUCCGCGCCCGCCGGAAGCCCCCCCUCAAACCUCGUGUAACCAGUGAAGUCUGAGUGCAAACGUAAUAAGCAAAACUUUCAACAACGGAUCUCUUGGUUCUGGCAUCGAUGAAGAACGCAGCGAAAUGCGAUAAGUAAUGUGAAUUGCAGAAUUCAGUGAAUCAUCGAAUCUUUGAACGCACAUUGCGCCCCCUGGUAUUCCGGGGGGCAUGCCUGUCCGAGCGUCAUUACACCCCUCAAGCCUUGCUUGGUGUUGAGCCUUCGUCCCCCUGGGGGCGGGCUCUCAAGUCAGUGGCGGAGUCACCGGGCUUCAAGCGUAGUAACAACCGUCCCGCUUUGGAAGACCCCGGGGGCGGCUUGCCAGUCAAACAACCUCUCCAACAGUUGACCUCGGAUCAGGUAGGGAUACCCGCUGAACUUAAGCAUAU
rnacentral:rRNA from 1 species